UACGAAGGGGGGCUAGCGUUGCUCGGAAUCACUGGGCGUAAAGGGUGCGUAGGCGGGUCUUUAAGUCAGGGGUGAAAUCCUGGAGCUCAACUCCAGAACUGCCUUUGAUACUGAAGAUCUUGAGUUCGGGAGAGGUGAGUGGAACUGCGAGUGUAGAGGUGAAAUUCGUAGAUAUUCGCAAGAACACCAGUGGCGAAGGCG
rnacentral:rRNA from 1 species